AUUGAACGCUGGCGGCAGGCCUAACACAUGCAAGUCGAACGAGGGGCGGACGGGUGAGGAAGGUCUGGGAAACUGCCUGAUGGAGGGGGAUAACUACUGGAAAAGGUAGCUAAUACCGCAUACCAUCGGAUGUGCCCAGAGGGGAUUAGCUAGUAGGUGGGGUAAAGGCUCCCCUGGGAGACGAUCACUAGCUGGUCUGAGAGGAUGACCUGCAACACGUGACCUGAGACACGGUCCAUACUCCUACGGGAGGCAGCAGUGGGGAAUAUUGCACAUUGGGCGCAAGCCUGAUGCAGCCAUGCCGCGUGUAUGAAGAAGGCCUUCGGGUUGUAAAGUACUUUCAGCGGGGAGGCGUUACCCGCAGAAGAAGCACCGGCUAACUCCGUGCCAGCAGCCGCGGUAAUAC
rnacentral:rRNA from 1 species